GAUGAACGCUGGCGGCGUGCCUAAUACAUGCAAGUCGAGCGAACAGAUGAGGAGCUUGCUCCUCUGACGUUAGCGGCGGACGGGUGAGUAACACGUGGAUAACCUACCUAUAAGACUGGGAUAACUUCGGGAAACCGGAGCUAGUACCGGAUAAUAUAUUGAACCGCAUGGUUCAAUAGUGAAAGACGGUUUUGCUGUCACUUAUAGAUGGAUCCGCGCCGCAUUAGCUAGUUGGUAAGGUAACGGCUUACCAAGGCAACGAUGCGUAGCCGACCUGAGAGGGUGAUCGGCCACACGGGAACUGAGACACGGUCCAGACUCCUACGGGAGGCAGCAGUAGGGAAUCUUCCGCAAUGGGCGAAAGCCUGACGGAGCAACGCCGCGUGAGUGAUGAAGGUAUUCGGAGCGUAAAACUCUGUUAUUAGGGAAGAACAAAUGUGUAAGUAACUAUGCACGUCUUGACGGUACCUAAUCAGAAAGCCACGGCUAACUACGUG
rnacentral:rRNA from 1 species